CUCUUGUCUUGCCACAUCAACUGACUGUUGGACAUCUCUCACCCUGGAAAUCUUUCUGCCCUCUCAAGCAACUUAAGCAAAAUAGAACUUACCUGCCCUGUAAAAUCCAUCCCUCUUUCUGGUGUUCAAGGAUUGAUUUCAACCAAGAGAUCUAAGAGAGAGAAAAAUUCCCCCCAAAAUGGAAAAAAUGCUGUUUACUCCUUUCUCCCUAAAACAAAGGCAACUGAGGAGAUAUCAGCAACUACUGAGACAUGUACUUACAUUCUCAUCCCUUUAAAAUCUUGAUGAAAAUGAAAACACACUGUGGUACCUCUGAUGAAAACAUGAGAGGGAAGUAGGCAAAGCUUUCCCCAAGGAUUUUCUACAUCAGACACAUUCUCAUAGUCUCACAAAUGACUGAAGUGUAGAGAAUUUCAGAUUUCUUGACCUAAUGGAGCAGAAUGUCUGCCCCUUGGGCCCAAGCAGAACAAGUUUGCUCCCAUUUCUACAUGAGACAGCCCUUCGGAUACUUAAACACUGGGAGACAGUUGUCAAGUCCCCUGACAUCCUUUCCAGAGUCAGAAGCCAGAAGUGCCCAGAGUGACUGCAGUACCAGAAAUGAUCUGAUAUCUGAAGAGGAUCAAAGAGCUCUCCUCCCUUUUAUUCUCACCAUCUCUGUAUCCCCUCCCUUUCAUGAAAGGCAUGGCAUUUGUUUCCUACACUGAGGAGUCACAUGCCAAAGAGUCACUGUGGUUAUAUUAUCUUUCUGUUGUUGUUGUUCAGGUAUUUUCAGUCAUAUAUGACUCUUCAUGACCCCAUUUGGGGGUUUCUUCUCAAAGAAACUGGAGUGGUUUGCCAUAUCCUUCUUUAUCUCAUUUGACAGAUGAGGAAAGUGAGGCAGACAAACUUAUGUGACUUGUCCAAAGUCACCCAGGUAAAGUGUCUGAAACCAAAUUUGAACUCAGGUCUUCUUGACUCCAGAUCCAGGAUUCUAUUUCACUGUGCCAUCUAUCUGCCCCAUAAUAUAUUUAGACUUCUUAUAAUUUAUUUCCCUCCUCAUAGUCUACUCUUUCUCUGCUUGGCACUCUAUCUCCUGUUCAUUUGCAUUGGUUGUCCCCCAUACCUGUAACACUCUCCUUUCUUACCUCUGCCUAAUGAAACUUUUGACUUCCUUCAAGGCUUAACUCAGAUGCCAUCUCUUCCAGGUAGCCUUUCAUGAUCUCCCUAGGUGUUAAUGCUUCCCUAGGUAGCACUGUGGAUAGAGUGCUGGAUCUGGAGUCAAGAAGACUCAUCCUCCUGGGUUUAAAUUUGGCCUCAGACACUUACUAGCUAUGUGACUCUGAACAUGCCAGUUAACCCUGUUUGUCUCAGUUUCCUUAUCUAUAAAAUGAACUAAAGAAGGAAAUGGAAAACCAGUCCAGAAUCUUUGCCAAGAAAACCCUAAAAGGGUCAUGAAGAGUUGGACAUGACUGAAAAAAAAAACAAGAAAAAAUAAAAUCUAUUUUCUUCUCUCUAUGUGUUAUAAC
rnacentral:lncRNA from 1 species